AGUGUACCCGCGGCAAGACGGAAAGACCCCGUGAACCUUUACUAUAGCUUGACACUGAACAUUGAGCCUUGAUGUGUAGGAUAGGUGGGAGGCUUUGAAGUGUGGACGCCAGUCUGCAUGGAGCCGACCUUGAAAUACCACCCUUUAAUGUUUGAUGUUCUAACGUUGACCCGUAAUCCGGGUUGCGGACAGUGUCUGGUGGGUAGUUUGACUGGGGCGGUCUCCUCCUAAAGAGUAACGGAGGAGCACGAAGGUUGGCUAAUCCUGGUCGGACAUCAGGAGGUUAGUGCAAUGGCAUAAGCCAGCUUGACUGCGAGCGUGACGGCGCGAGCAGGUGCGAAAGCAGGUCAUAGUGAUCCGGUGGUUCUGAAUGGAAGGGCCAUCGCUCAACGGAUAAAAGGUACUCCGGGGAUAACAGGCUGAUACCGCCCAAGAGUUCAUAUCGACGGCGGUGUUUGGCACCUCGAUGUCGGCUCAUCACAUCCUGGGGCUGAAGUAGGUCCCAAGGGUAUGGCUGUUCGCCAUUUAAAGUGGUACGCGAGCUGGGUUUAGAACGUCGUGAGACAGUUCGGUCCCUAUCUGCCGUGGGCGCUGGAGAACUGAGGGGGGCUGCUCCUAGUACGAGAGGACCGGAGUGGACGCAUCACUGGUGUUCGGGUUGUCAUGCCAAUGGCACUGCCCGGUAGCUAAAUGCGGAAGAGAUAAGUGCUGAAAGCAUCUAAGCACGAAACUUGCCCCGAGAUGAGUUCUCCCUGACUCCUUGAGAGUCCUGAAGGAACGUUGAAGACGACGACGUUGAUAGGCCGGGUGUGUAAGCGCAGCGAUGCGUUGAGCUAACCGGUACUAAUGAACCGUGAGG
rnacentral:rRNA from 1 species